AGAGGAUUGUGUGAUUUCGGGCUCAUAACCCGAAGGUCGCGGGUUCAAAUCCCGCCCCGCUA
rnacentral:tRNA from 1 species